AUUGCCCUGUUAUGGUGUGGGUGUGGCGAAAGCCCCCCGAACGUUGUAUAUGACGUUAGGACACCUUAGACAGGGCAUUUU
rnacentral:sRNA from 1 species